CGAAGCCGUGGACCUAAGCAAUGUGGUCUGCAAACCAGAGUCUGAGAAGUGUUGUAUUUUGCCGGGUAAGGUAAAAAGAACUGUACACCGGAGGGAGCUUAUAAGACAUCAACGACGGAAUGUUCAGGUCAUGAUGGCUAUGCUGGCUUCUCCCUGGGAGUAAGUCUCUUCUGAGAGAUUCCAAGCAGCCUUCCUCUGGCUUGCUCUUGAACCCCCUGUUCUCCAGAAGCCAGUGUCAAUAAGCUGCAACAAAAGAAGACAGGACAAGACAAGACAAAAUGAAUCACAGGCUCCAGGCUCAGGGAGAGACCCUUCUUCGUGGGAAGAAGACAGAGGACAGAGGGAGAUAACUGGUGACGUCCCUUAACAG
rnacentral:lncRNA from 1 species